UUAACCACACUUUCGCCAUCAAUCUACCAUUCCAAAACACAUUCUUUCAAAAUAAUAUGGUUCAAACACACACAUGUAUGUCAAUAAAGAUCAAAGCAGCAUGAAGAUGGAUCAAAAGAGUAUUUGUUUAUCGCUUGUGCAAAACUGGAUGUGAAUAGCUGACAAUCCAAAUAGGCCACCCAAAUAAGGUGGAGCAUCAAUCACUAGUCCUCUUACUACGAAAACACUCAAAACAGCAGAUCAGAUGAGAAUUUUUCGAGUGCAUGUAGAGAUAUCGUGAUCCCGAUGCUCUGCCAGAAAGCUUAGUCGGAGACUCUGUUGUUGGAACUUGGAUGUGAACACCUAAACAUGAAAUCCAACCAAGAAGCAAGAUAAACGUCUUGAAGCAAAAACAAAAGAAAGGUAAACUACAAGCCUAGAGGAGGUGUUCGCAAUUUUACCUACAUACAUUUUUCCUGCAACACUUUGUUUCACGGGGUGCCUUUCUUCUUGGUACAAAAAGGGACACCGUGCGGCAGUAGUCUGCUCCGCUAGACUACCUUCCGCCUUUUCUCGGUCGCGUCGGGAC
rnacentral:lncRNA from 1 species